UCCCGAUGUGCUGGGAUUACAGGUGUGAGCCACUGUGCCUGGCCUAAAAAUUAGUUUUAAUUUUAAAAAUCUACUUGAAGCAAUCUUUGGGGGACAUGCUAGUCAAAAGAAUAAAUUCAGUAUUAGUAAUAAUUGAAAACCUUUUUUGGGCAAUUUAUAUGUCAAGCAGUUUAUGUAUAACAGCAUUUUAAGUAUAUUUUUCACAUUUAUGUCUUAGAAAAAUCCUGUGAUGUAGUACCAGUGUCCUUAUUUCAUAAAUGAGCAAACUGAGGUACAGAGGGAUUCACUAAUAGUCCCAAGGGCACAAAUCUAGUAGAUGAGACUGGAAUUUGAACUUCACCAGUUUUACCCUACAGCUGUAAGAUUAUACUGACUGUCUUAUAGUCAAAAUUUUAGAAGCCACAUACAGAAAUUUGUAAAGAAUGUGAUUAUGACCCUUUGAGGAAGAUUUUAACACUCAAAAUUAGCAAAUCAUUGCCUGGCUUUGCUGAGUGUCUUUAAGAUUUAGAUGAAGCAGAUGGGGGCUGACCAAAACACCUGUGUUGGCUCAGCGCAGUGGUUCAUGCCUAUAAUCCCAGAACUUUGGGAGGCUCAGGUGGGCAGAUCACUUGAACUCAGGAGUUCAAAAUCAGCCUGGGCAACAUGGUGAAACCCCGUCUCUACCAAAAAAAAAAAAAAAAAAGAAGCUGGGCAUGGUAACACUUGCUUGUAGUCCCAACUACUUGGGAGGCAGGCUGAGGUGGGAGGAUUACCUGACCCCAGGAGGUCAAGAAACACUUCUGUCUUUGCUGAUGAUGGGACUUAGAGCUAAGAAGUAGGAGAAGGCUAAGCGGAAGCCACCACCUAAGGAGAAUUACUUUAGAAAUGAAGGUGCCAUGGGGCUCUUGAUAUCUUUGUCAGUAGUUUUAUGGAAGAAGCAUGGAUGCCAUGGUUCCCUAUUUCUGCUAGUAUGUUUCAGAGACAAAGUAAAUUCAAGAAGAGAUGAACAACAGAAGAAAUAGUACUAAUGUGAGCUAUAUGAAUAGUGGUGUUUUGCAUAGAGUCCUUAUUAAUUUAGUUUGAUUCUUUCCGUUUUGUCUUUUUUAAUCUGUUCCUGUCACCCCAUGCAUCUAUUUUCUCAUGAUAGUCUAUACAUUUUGUUGUUCUGCUAUUGCAUCUUGUAUCUUUUCUCUGUUUCCCUUCUUUUAAAAAACCUCUGUAAAGGAGAUUUGCUAUUGUAAAUUGUAGUUUAGAAGUUAACCCUCCCCCUGUAGUUUAGUCUCUUCUAAUAAACUGUAAGCAACAUUGGCCAGGACCUAUGUGUAAAUUCAUCUUGAGUGAAUGAAUAAACAACAGUAUUGUGACUAAGUAACCUAUACUUGCACAUAUAUAUAUGAAAAAGCUAUACUUGGCUAUAUUAUAGAAUAAUAUAGGAAUCUAUAAAAGAACAAAAAAUUUAUUACCUUUAUACCCAGUUUUAAAAAUACUGUAUUCCCUUUUAGAAGGUUGUGGUUAUUGAACAACAACAAAAAGGUAAAGAGUGCAUUGGAACUGAAUCAUUUUCUGAGAGCUAAAAAAAAAAAAAAGGUAAAGAGUACACACUGUGUAGACCCAUUUACAUGAAAUUCUUUAGAAGACAAACUAUAGUAAGAAAAAGCAGAUCAGUAGUUGCUUGGGGCUGGAGUGGGCAGGAUUAACUACAGAGGAGCAAAAGGUAGCUUUACCAAAUGAUUAAAAUGUUCUCUGUCCUGACCAUGGUGAUUACACAAACAUAUAUACUUUAAAAAAAAUUAAUGGAACAUUUAAAAUGGGUGCAAUUCUAUAACUGUAUAAAGGACAUGAUUUAUAUAUAUUCUGCCACUGCACUCCAGGCUGGGCAACAGAAGAAAUAGUACUGAUGUGAGCUAUAUGAAUAAUGAUAUUUUGCUAUUUUGGGAGGCUGAAGUGGGAGGAUCACUUGAACCCAGUAGGUAGAGGAUGCAGUGAGCAAAGAUUGUGCCACUGUACUCCAGCCUGGGUGACAGAGUGAGACCCUGUUUCAAAAAAAAAAAAAAAUUUUUUUUUUUACUUGUACUGAACCAUGUACAGAUUUCUUUUCUUCUUGUUAUUCCCUAAAUGAUGCAGUAUAAAAGCUAUUUAUGUAGCACUUAAUGUUGUAUAAGGUAUAAGUAAUCUAUAGAUGAUUUGAAGUAUAUAGGAGGAUGUGCAUAGAUUAUAUGCAAAUACAAAACCAUUUUAUAUUAGGGACUUGAGCAUCCAAAAAUUUUGUGGGAAGUCUUGCAACCCAUCUCCAACGGAUACCAAAGGAUGACUAUACUCUGAUAUAUAGUUUCUCUAGUUAAGCAUAAAGGUAAAAACAGAAUACGAGUUUUUAGUUCCUUACAAGUGAGUAGUACCUUGUGCUUAACUAACAUAAAUACUAAUGUUGUAUGAAAUUCAAAUGUUCACGUAAUCAUGUAUACUGUAUUCUGUAUAGCUAGUUUGAGACAUUAGGCAUUUAAAUGUUUUUAUUAGCAAUGUAAUAGAACACUUGAAUAUUUGUUGGUAGAAGACUGAUUAUACAACUUAAAUUAUUUGUUUGAAUUGAAGUUUUCAUUAUAGUCACCUAAGUCAAUAAAACAUGUGUUUAAAUGUGUCUUAUGGCAAUGACCAUAAGCCAAACAUAGACUUAAUUUAACAAAUAGCUUUACAAUGGAGUUGUGAAUUUGUUAAUGUUUUUCUUUUCUCCAGUUUUUAAGCCACAGCUGCUUACUUGUUGGAUUGUCAUUAUGAAACACAGAAACACAGAUUUUUCUU